rnacentral:rRNA from 1 species
CUACGGGAUGCAGCAGUGGGGAAUAUUGCACAAUGGGCGCAAGCCUGAUGCAGCCAUGCCGCGUGUAUGAAGAAGGCCUUCGGGUUGUAAAGUACUUUCAGCGGGGAGGAAGGGAGUAAAGUUAAUACCUUUGCUCAUUGACGUUACCCGCAGAAGAAGCACCGGCUAACUCCGUGCCAGCAGCCGCGGUAAUACGGAGGGUGCAAGCGUUAAUCGGAAUUACUGGGCGUCAAGCGCACGCAGGCGGUUUGUUAAGUCAGAUGUGAAAUCCCCGGGCUCAACCUGGGAACUGCAUCUGAUACUGGCAAGCUAGAGUCUCGUAGAGGGGGGUAGAAUUCCAGGUGUAGCGGUGAAAUGCGUAGAGAUCUGGAGGAAUACCGGUGGCGAAGGCGGCCCCCUGGACGAAGACUGACGCUCAGGUGCGAAAGCGUGGGGAGCAAACAGGAUUAGAUACCCUUGUAGUC